rnacentral:rRNA from 1 species
GGGUUGCUUGGGAAUGCAGCCCAAAAUUGGUGGUAGACUCCAUCUAAAGCUAAAUACUGGCACGAGACCGAUAGCGAACAAGUACCGUGAGGGAAAGAUGAAAAGAACUUUGAAAAGAGAGUUAAAAAGUGCGUGAAACCGUUAGAGGGGAAGCGGAUGAAGUUAGCAAUGCCCCCGCGAGACUCAGGUGGAUGGCAUACCUCUGGAUGCGACGCGUGGCUGACGGAUCCGAAUGGACUGUCGUUACGUGGCCGUUCCAGCCAGCCGCCGCACUUCUCGUGCUGGGGCGCGUCAACAACUGCUGGACGACAGGGGGGCUAGACGGCACUCGCAGCGAAAGGUAGGCGUCUUACUAUGACUCGGCUACUUUGCGGUGGUCGAGGAGAUGCUGUUAUAGACGCUGUUGUGUCCCAGCUCCAGUCUGGCAGAGGCUAGCUAGCGGUGUGUGCUCGCAACUUCGGUCGUGGGCUGGCAUCCUGCUGCGUGUUCUUGUAGUCGUCAGCUGUGCACUGCUUGCAGUUCACUUCAGACGGAGAAAAGGCGCGUGCAGUGUAUGCACACUAUGUGCACCAUGGUUGUUGGCGGCCAUAUGGCUUCUUCCGACCCGUCUUGAAACACGGACCAAGGAGUCUAACAUGUGCGCGAGUCUUGGGGUGACCGAAACCCAGAGGCACAAUGAAAGUGAAGGCCGCCGUGCAAGGGCACUGCUCUCGUGGCUGGUGUACUAGCCGGUGGCUUAGGUGAGAUCUCUGCUUGCCACCUCGUGGCUGGCAGUGGCGCAUCAUCGACCGACCUAUUCUACUCCUAGAAAGGUUUGAGUAA